rnacentral:rRNA from 1 species
UAGGGAAUAUUGGUCAAUGGGGGAAACCCUGAACCAGCCAUGCCGCGUGCAGGAUUAAGGCCCUAUGGGUCGUAAACUGCUUUUGUACGGGAAGAAAUCACACUACGUGUAGUGUGUUGACGGUACCGUGAGAAUAAGGAUCGGCUAACUUCGUGCCAGCAGCCGCGGUAAUACGAAGGAUCCAAGCGUUGUCCGGAUUUACUGGGUUUAAAGGGUGCGUAGGCGGGCUAUUAAGUCAGUGGUGAAAGCUUGCAGCUUAACUGUAAAAUUGCCAUUGAAACUGAUAGCCUCGAAUAUGGUUGAGGUGGUUGGAAUGUUGCAUGUAGCGGUGAAAUGCUUAGAUAUGCAACAGAACACCGAUUGCGAAGGCAGAUCACUAAACCAUUAUUGACGCUGAGGCACGAAAGCGUGGGGAUCAAACAGGAUUAGAUACCCCUGUAGUCC